UGCCUACGGGAGGCAGCAGUGGGGAAUAUUGCACAAUGGGGGAAACCCUGAUGCAGCGACGCCGCGUGAAGGACGAAGUAUUUCGGUACGUAAACUUCUAUCAGCAGGGAAGAAAAUGACGGUACCGGACCAAGAAGCCCCGGCUAACUACGUGCCAGCAGCCGCGGUAAUACGUAGGGGGCAAGCGUUAUCCGGAUUCACUGGGCGUAAAGGGAGCGCAGGCGGCAUGGCAAGUCUGAUGUGAAAACCCGGGGCCCAACCCCGGGAGUGCAUUGGAAACUGCCGGGCUGGAGUGUCGGAGGGGG
rnacentral:rRNA from 1 species